AGAGCACGGUGAUAGGCUGCAAGUUUACCUGCUGACUCGUGAAGAAGAUGAAGCAUCUUCCCAAACUGAUUUAAGCCAAACGAUCUCAAAGAAAACUGUCAGGAGCAUACAAGAGGCUCCAGUGAGUGAAGAUCUUGUAAUCAGGUUACGUCGACCCCCUCUAAGAUACCCAAGAUCUGAAGCCACCAGUGUCCAACAGAAGGUCAAUUUCUCUGAAGAAGGAGAAACUGAAGAAGAUGAUCAAGACAGCUCUCACAGCAGUGUCACUACUGUUAAGGCCAGAUCCAGGGAUUCUGAUGAAUCUGGAGAUAAAACCACCAGAUCAUCUAGUCAAUAUAUAGAAUCAUUUUGGCAGUCAUCACAAAGUUUUCACUCUGUUACCCAGGCAAGUGUAGUGGUGCGAUCAUGGUUCACUGUAGCCUCGAACUCCUGGGCUCAAGGGAUCCUCCUGCCUCAGUUUCCUGAGUAGCUAAGACUACAGGUCAAAACUUCACAGCUCAUGAUAAGCAACCUUCAGUGCUGAGCUCAGGAUAUCAAAAAACUC
rnacentral:sRNA from 1 species